GCUUACGGCCAUACCACCCUGAGAACGCCCGAUCUCGUCUGAUCUCGGAAGCUAAGCAGGGUCGGGCCUGGUUAGUACUUGGAUGGGAGACCGCCUGGGAACACCAGGUGCUGUAAACU
ensembl:rRNA 5S_rRNA 5S ribosomal RNA